UACGGGGGGGGCAAGCGUUGUUCGGAAUUACUGGGCGUAAAGGGCUCGGUAGGCGGCCAACUAAGUCGGACGUGAAAUCCCCAGGCUCAACCUGGGAACUGCGUCCGAUACUGGAUGGCUUGAAUCCGGGAGAGGGAUGCAGAAUUCCAGGUGUAGCGGUGAAAUGCGUAGAUAUCUGGAGGAAUACCGGUGGCGAAGGCGGCAUCCUGGACCGGCAUUGACGCUGAGGAGCGAAAGCCAGGGGAGCAAACGGG
rnacentral:rRNA from 1 species